CAGCCAAGGGGAAAGGAGCUUUUCCAGAAAAGAUAAUAGAGGAGAGGCCUGAAUGUAGGAGCAGCUUCUGAUACUGCAGAGGAUUGGAGUAUUCCCUGUUACGAUAGGUUCCGCCGCUCUAGCAAGAGUCCUGAUUUGCACGGAGCCCCAGCACAGGCUAUCGCAUCCCCAGGAUCAGGACACUCCAGGGCCAGGAGAACCAUGCGAGGUGGUGACUGCCACCUAAAGCCAAUGUGACGUGACCGUCCUCUCUGCUCUGCUCUAUCUCCUGCCUGUGCGAAUGACAGCCCAUUAAUACAUUGAAGACGCUGUUGAGUGAACUGCUUGGCUAGUAGCCACCUUCUCCGAACUGACAACAUUAAUCAGACUAGUACACGCUAGACAGCAGAGCGUCUUUGAAAAAAAUCCAGUUUUUGCUAUGCAUCACUUUAACUUUGUCAUGUACUGUUUUGUGUGUUUGUCUUGCUUGUAUCUCUGUAGAGACACAGUCAUUGCGGCUGCCUCCCAGUACCAUGAAGGAUGACUUAAGCAGUUACUUGACCAGCAUGAAGAAAUCACUCACCAGCUCCAGAAGAUAGCUACCACAGUUGCCCGAACCUGAGUUCUGAUAACCCAGCAUAGUGAACUACUGAGAAUCACCCAAGAUGAGCACAACCUUAUGGUGCAUCAUUUGAGACAAUUUUAAAGAGUAGUCCCCUAAAGCAAAUGCUGUAUUAAAUCUUCUAUUACAUCCUAUUGUUGUUAUUUGUAUUGUAGCUGUAUACUUGUUAUUAUAGACAUGCUUUUUGUAUCUGCGCAUUCAGUCUCUCGUCCACCUGUGUAAUGUCCAGCGUAUGCAAACUGCUUAAGACGAUUGCGAGUUAGACCUCAAAUUCUUAGUAGUCUGUCUCACAAUUGAGGGGUGAACUGUAAUAGUAAGAGCUUUGCUAAUGCUAAUAGCAAGAGUUCUGCAUGCUGAUUCCAUAGUAGGCUGGCGAAACGGCACAUAGCCUCCUGCUCUGUGAGCGUGACUGAACCA